UCCUAAAAAUUCCGAAGUUGCAAGACAACAGAGAGGACGAGGACAAGUACGACAACAACAAAGACAAGUAAUCUCAGAUGAAAUCCGUGCCACCCUAGUUCAUCAUGUGCUCAUACAUGGGACAGCUAGUGCAACCCAACCCAACUUUCUUUUUUCUUUACACACAUCCAUUGUCUGUACUUUCAGAAGGGAAACAGAUCAUUUGCCUUGUUGUUACUGUGAUACAUGUAAUGUUGUAGUGCAUAUAGACUGAAUCUCCACUUUGUUCUCAGUGUAGUUUUGACCACAGUAAGCCUCAAAAUGGUUAAAACACCAAUCAGAAUUGCAGGAUCAAUAAAUUCAAAACCAAAGGUCAGUAAUGGUCAAAUGUAAUUUUUGAAGAACUGAGAGGUGGCCAUCUAAUGGCGGGAGGUGGAGACUUCUCACAGCUGAGCAGGAGACUGCCCUUGUGAAUAUGGUGAUUGCCAAUAAUUCAAUUCGUUCGAGGGAAAUUCAAACCCAAAUAGUUGAAGACCAGGUAGUCUUCCAAGGAAUUGACAGCAUCAGCAUUUCCACCAUUGACCGGAUCGUUCAGAAUAACCACAUAAGGACAAAGCAGCUGUACCGUGUGCCUUUUGAAAGGAAUUCGGAGUUAAAGAGCGACGAUUCCAAUAUGUGCAGAGAAUCAUGAGCUGGAUACCAUGGCUGACCCACAGGAGUACAUCUUCAUCGACAAGGCAUGAUUCAACCC